GUGGGGAAUAUUGGACAAUGGGCGAAAGCCUGAUCCAGCAAUGCCGCGUGAGUGAUGAAGGCCUUAGGGUUGUAAAGCUCUUUUACCAGGGAUGAUAAUGACAGUACCUGGAGAAUAAGCUCCGGCUAACUCCGUGCCAGCAGCCGCGGUAAUACGGAGGGAGCUAGCGUUGUUCGGAAUUACUGGGCGUAAAGCGCACGUAGGCGGUUACUCAAGUAAGAGGUGAAAGCCCGGGGCUCAACCCCGGAACUGCCUUUGAAACUAGGUAACUAGAAUCUUGGAGAGGUCAGUGGAAUUCCGAGUGUAGAGGUGAAAUUCGUAGAUAUUCGGAAGAACACCAGUGGCGAAGGCGACUGACUGGACAAGUAUUGACGCUGAGGUGCGAAAGCGUGGGGAGCAAACAGGAUUAGAAACCCGGGUAGUCC
rnacentral:rRNA from 1 species